UACGGAAGGCAGCAGUGGGGAAUAUUGCACAAUGGGCGCAAGCCUGAUGCAGCCAUGCCGCGUGUAUGAAGAAGGCCUUCGGGUUGUAAAGUACUUUCAGUCGUGAGGAAGGUGUUAAGGUUAAUAACCUUAGCAAUUGACGUUAGCGACAGAAGAAGCACCGGCUAACUCCGUGCCAGCAGCCGCGGUAAUACGGGGGUGCGAGCGUUAAUCGGAAUUACUGGGCGUAAAGGGCACGCAGGCGGUUAAUUAAGUUGGAUGUGAAAUCCCCGGGCUUAACCUGGGAAUGGCAUUCAAGCUGGUUAGCUAGAGUCUUGUAGAGAGGGGUAGAAUUCCAUGUGUAGCGGUGAAAUGCGUAGAGAUGUGGAGGAAUACCGGUGGCGAAGGCGGCCCCUGGACAAAGGACUGACGCUCAUGUGCGAAAGCGUGGGGAGCAAACAGGGAUUAGAUACC
rnacentral:rRNA from 1 species